rnacentral:rRNA from 1 species
GCCUAACACAUGCAAGUCGAACGGAGCCAUCUAAACAAUCACUUCGGGGUGCGUUUGGGGAAGCUUAGUGGCGGACGGGUGAGUAACGCGUGAGUAACCUGCCUUUCAGAGGGGGAUAACGUUCCGAAAGGAACGCUAAUACCGCAUAACGUAUUUUUACCGCAUGAUAGAGAUACCAAAGAUUUAUCGCUGAAAGAUGGACUAGCGUCUGAUUAGCUAGUUGGAGGGGUAACGGCCUACCAAGGCGACGAUCAGUAGCCGAACUGAGAGGUUGAUCGUCCACAUUGGGACUGAGACACGGCCCAGACUCCUACGGGAGGCAGCAGUGGGGGAUAUUGCGCAAUGGGGGAAACCCUGACGCAGCAAUGCCGCGUGAAGGAAGAAGGUCUUCGGAACGUAAACUUUUGUCUUCAGGGACGAUAAUGACGGUACCUGAGGAGGAAGCCACGGCUAACUACGUGCCAGCAGCCGCGGUAAGAC